AGGAAAGAAUGGGAUUUACUGCUAUAGCAGGUGAAAUGCCCUGAUGAUAGCAUAUGGUGAUAUGCCAAGAAGCUAAGUGGAUUGCUAUUUUCCUAUGGAGAAUGAUGGAAAAUCAUUUGUGGGUUACCCCAGGUAUAUACUGAAGCCUGCCCUUUUCUGAUUUGCUGUUUCCUGAGUAAGGAUUGGAUUUCCACUAUGCUGAAAUACUAUUGUAACAAACUUCUCUGUGUUAAACGCCCCAUUGAUAGCAAGUGAUUGAAGAGGAAUAAUCUUAAUAUAAUUGGAAUAUGAAAGUAUAUGAACGUUUUCUACCAGAGGAUUGAGCUAUCACUAAGUUGUGUUUGGGAGCACAUCAGCUCUUUUAAUUAUGAAGUAUGCCA